rnacentral:lncRNA from 1 species
UUGAGAAAUUCCAACUGAAGGACCAGUUACUUUGCCUGCAAUCGGGAUAUAAUCAAUCAUAUCUCCUCCAGAAUUAUGGUAAAUAUGCAUAAUCAGCAGCAAACUAGAAAAGUGAGCACUGAACACUUCAACAAUUAUAUCACCACAUAUGCAGUAGGUAAGAUUGAACAGAAUACCAUAGGUCUAACAGACAUUGUAUUAUUUGCGUUGCUUAUAUGUUGAAUCAUGUCGUUCCUAGUGUGGCAUUUCAUCAACCAAGUGGGUUGAUGAUCCCUAACAUGUCUCUGCAGGUAAAGUGGUGUCUCUCUGGCCUCUAAUCAGUCCACUCCAUGGCGCACAUGUCACAUCACAUCAACCCAAACAUCAUCAAAAGAAGGACGCACAAGGGCACAGGGCAGUGAGGCACAACAUCAAAAAUUGGCAUUGGACAAGGGUAAAAAGUGCAAGCAAAGGGUAGGUUCACGGGAAGAAAGCUUUUACGGACCUUGGCAAUGGCGGAGGCAAGGGUGCGGCCGGACUUCACCAGACUCGAGUUCACAACUGUCGAGCCGACCACAUCCCGCGCCGAGGAGCAAGGGGCGCCUCGCCCUGCCAUGGCCGGGGGCCAGGGCCACUGCGCCUCCGUGCCCGGGGGCGGGUCUGCCCCGCCAUGGCCGAGGCUAGUGCCACCUCUCCCCACUGCAACCCGCCAUGGUUGCCUCCCCGUCGUGCUGGGGCCUCUGUGCCGUCGCCGUGAGAGAGAGAGGUUUCGAGAGAGAGAGGACGGGAAGGAGAGAGA